rnacentral:rRNA from 1 species
UACGUAGGGUGCGAGCGUUGUCCGGAAUUACUGGGCGUAAAGAGCUCGUAGGCGGUUUGUCGCGUCGUCCGUGAAAACUUGGGGCUCAACUCCAAGCUUGCGGGCGAUACGGGCAGACUUGAGUACUGCAGGGGAGACUGGAAUUCCUGGUGUAGCGGUGAAAUGCGCAGAUAUCAGGAAGAACACCAAUGGCGAAGGCAGCUCUCUGGGACGGUACUGACGCUGAGACGCGAAAGCGUGGGGAGCGAACAGG